AUGAACGCUGGCGGCGUGCCUCAUACAUGCAAGUCGAGCGAACAGACGAGGAGUUUGCUCCUCUGACGUUAGCGGCGGACGGGUGAGUAACACGUGGAUAACCUACCUAUAAGACUGGGAUAACUUCGGGAAACCGGAGCUAAUACCGGAUAAUAUAUUGAACCGCAUGGUUCAAUAGUGAAAGACGGUUUUGCUGUCACUUAUAGAUGGAUCCGCGCCGCAUUAGCUAGUUGGUAAGGUAACGGCUUACCAAGGCAACGAUGCGUAGCCGACCUGAGAGGGUGAUCGGCCACACUGGAACUGAGACACGGUCCAGACUCCUACGGGAGGCAGCAGUAGGGAAUCUUCCGCAAUGGGCGAAAGCCUGACGGAGCAACGCCGCGUGAGUGAUGAAGGUCUUCGGAUCGUAAAACUCUGUUAUUAGGGAAGAACAAAUGUGUAAGUAACUAUGCACGUCUUGACGGUACCUAAUCAGAAAGCCACGGCUAACUACGUG
rnacentral:rRNA from 1 species